CCAACAGGAAGGAAGUUAGCACACGAAAGCUGUAUGGCUAGCAAACACAAAGGAGCGUUGGAGGUAGAAGGCAAUCAGCGCACAGAAGCAGGAGCUCUUGGAAGGACUGUGAAAUCCUGAUCUAGCAUACAGUUUUCACAUUCUAUUAUCAAUAAGAUAUUGACCUGAAUCUUGUUGGAGCAUCGAGUUACCGAUGGCAGGACCGGAUGUGCGCAGGACUUCUACAGUAGGUUGGAUGGCUGGCCAGGCGCAAUCACGCGGCGGCCAGCCAAUUGGAUAUUCAUAGACAAGGUACCUGGCCAAUCAUGCAGCAGGACAGGCAGGAAGUUGACAACCCCACCUCGCAGCAUUGAAUGUGUGGGUACCAUAUUUAAAGACAUUCAUUCCCUGCAGUCCAGCACCAUCAGUCUGGUUGUGUGAGUGGAUGCCUUGAGACAAAAGCUGCUACUAGAAUCUUCUGAUCAUCACCCCCAACGCCGAAUAACCUCAGCUGCUGCUACCACCUGCUCAUCUUCCCCCACUCUCAUAUGCUAUUCUAGAUAUCUCAGAGCAAACAACGAAUGGCCGCAAGGUUUAGUGAUGCCUCCUUGCAGGCUCUCCUCCAGUCCGUCCAGGAAUGAUGGGAAGUCAUGUUUCCUAGUAAUGGCAGCAAGCGGCCCUCUCUCCUGAUCUGAGAAUUUUUGACCAAAGGGGAGACCUAUACUUAGCAUCAGCCACACUCCGGUCUCCUCUCACCCCACUGUGGACAUCUUCAUCCUCGACCUGUUCUCUAGAGACCUCUUCAUGUUGUUGCAGCUAUGUCCCUGGACACUCCCACAUUGACCCUAGAACUUGAAACCAUCACCCUGCACCCUCCCUCAUCACCUUUGACCUACUCUCCAUCAGCCAUGGCCCUCACUCCAUCAGCCUUGACUCGCCCCCUUAGGACCUUAGCAUUGACCUUCACUCUCUAACCUUAAUCAUGCUUCACCUCCGAUCUGUAGGCAUUGACCUCUGUCCCCCAUGAACCCUUGUCAGUCCACCACAACCCUCAGUCAGCCAUGCCCUGAUCUUCCUUGCACAGCCACCACUCAAUCUCAAUGCAUCAAUGCCUCCUUUCCUGUGGCCCAAUUGCCCCCCAUGAAAGAAAAGCAGCUCCUAUUCAGUCCGAAUUGACCAGGAAGACUACCUCGCACGCUACCUUUAGCCAAUUGUGAAUCUAAAGGCAUGUGUUUCUCGUUCGCUGCAGGGUUAAUUGCAAAGGUACCGUUAAUCUGGCAAAAUGGUGUUUUAAUGAGUGUGCAUGACAUGCUAAUGCAUUAUUAGGCUCCCACCAAGUGCUGUUGGAAAGCUCGAUCUGCCUUCAAUCUGCUGCAACUUUAAUUCGCUACUUUUAUCCCACCGUCAGGAAGCUGACAUUCCACCUCCCGCAUAACUAAAUGUGCCCGCCCGCCUUGUUUCCCACUGCUGGCAGCAGCACAAGAUUCCAGCCAUUGAUUGCAGCUUUUGGAACAAAUAGCUGAAGGCUGAACAGCAGAUGUUUAAGAAAUAGAAAGUUCAAUAAUAAAAACGAGGCAAUGACAUUGCCCAGUUAUAAGUACAUACUUUACUGUUCAUUUUUGGUUACAAGACAGCAAGUUAUUUUUGAACAUAGCCUUGUCAAAAUUUAUCAUUAGUCACCAAAAAUUU